rnacentral:sRNA from 1 species
AGCUGUUCCCCUCUGGAGGUUGAUACCUUCACAAUUAAUGGGCCACGGUUCUCCGUCGGCCCUCUUUUUUUGUCUGC